rnacentral:lncRNA from 1 species
GUGUGGUCAUAGAAAAAUACAGAAUUAUAUAAAAAUAAGGAGAUGUGAUAUGAUUGGCAAUGAGACACUAUCAAGGUAAAAUGAAGUUAAUUAAAUCCACCAUAGAAAACUGUACGACCUUCAAACCCUAUUCAUUGUUGUCUGCUAUAAAGGACCCCAACAUGAAAAAUGUGAAACAAUCCAAUUCUUAGAAAAGUAUCGGUAAAAGUUUAACUAACUCAUAUUAGAC